rnacentral:rRNA from 1 species
CCUACGGGUGGCAGCAGUCGAGAAUCAUUCACAAUGGGGAAACCCUGAUGGUGCGACGCCGCGUGGGGUUAUGCAGGUCUUCGGAUUGUAACCCCCUUUCAUUUGGGAGCAAAUUAAAAAGAUAGUACCACAAGAUGAAGAGACGGCUAACGCUGUGCCAGCAGCCGUGGUAAUACAGAGGUAUCAAGCGUUGUUCGGAAUCACUGGGCGUAAAGCGUGCGUAGGCGGUGUCGUAAGCCGUGUGUGAAAGGCGCGGGAUCAACCCGCGAACGGCAUAUUAUACUGCGAGACUAGAGUAAUGGAGGGGGAACUGGAAUUCUCGGUGUAGCAGUGAAAUGCGUAGAUAUGGAGAGGAACACUCGUGGCGAAGGCGGGUUCCUGGACAUUAACUGACGCUGAGGUACGAAGGCGAGGGGAGCGAAAGGGAUUAGAUACCCGUGUAGUC